AAGAAGUCAGGCCGGUUUAAGCCAUAGUACGGUAAGAGCUAUGCUGCCUGUGAGCCCCGUCCAAGGACGUAAAAUGAAGUCAGGCCGAAAGCCACGGCUUGAGCAAACCGUGCUGCCUGUGGCUCCAUCGUGGGGAUGUAAAAACCCGGGAGGCUGCAACCCAUGGAAGCUGUACGCAUGGGGUAGCAGACUAGUGGUUAGAGGAGACCCCUCCCAAGAUACAACGCAGCAGCGGGGCCCAACACCAGGGGAAGCUGUACCCUGGUGGUAAGGACUAGAGGUUAGAGGAGACCCCCCGCACAA
rnacentral:lncRNA from 1 species